UACUCCUACGGGAGGCAGCAGUGAGGAAUAUUGGUCAAUGGGCGGGAGCCUGAACCAGCCAAGUCGCGUGAAGGAAGAAGGAUCUAUGGUUCGUAAACUUCUUUUGCAGGGGAAUAAAGUGCAGGACGUGUCCUGUUUUGUAUGUACCCUGAGAAUAAGGAUCGGCUAACUCCGUGCCAGCAGCCGCGGUAAUA
rnacentral:rRNA from 2 species